rnacentral:rRNA from 1 species
GACGAACGCUGGCGGCGUGCUUAACACAUGCAAGUCGAACGGAAAGGCCCUGCUUUUGUGGGGUGCUCGAGUGGCGAACGGGUGAGUAACACGUGAGUAACCUGCCCUUGACUUUGGGAUAACUUCAGGAAACUGGGGCUAAUACCGGAUAGGAGCUCCUGCUGCAUUGUGGGGGUUGGAAAGUUUCGGCGGUUGGGGAUGGACUCGCGGCUUAUCAGCUUGUUGGUGGGGUAGUGGCUUACCAAGGCUUUGACGGGUAGCCGGCCUGAGAGGGUGACCGGCCACAUUGGGACUGAGAUACGGCCCAGACUCCUAAGGGAGGCAGCAGUGGGGAAUAUUGCACAAUGGGCGGAAGCCUGAUGCAGCAACGCCGUGUGCGGGAUGACGGCCUUCGGGUUGUAAACCGCUUUCGCCUGUGACGAAGCGUGAGUGACGGUAAUGGGUAAAGAAGCACCGGCUAACUACGUG